rnacentral:rRNA from 1 species
UACGGAGGAUGCAGGCGUUAUCCGGAUUUAUUAGGUUUAAAGGGUGUCUAGGCGGUCAGGUAAGUCAGAGGUGAAAGUCGGUUGCUUAACAAUCGAAUUGCCUUUGAUACUGUCAGACUUGAGUAUGGUUGAUGUGGGCGGAAUGUGUAGUGUAGCGGUGAAAUGCAUAGAUAUUACACAGAACCCCAAUUGCGAAGGCAGCUCACAAAACCUUUACUGACGCUGAAGCACGAAAGCGUGGGUAGCGAACAGG